AUACGGAGGAUGCGAGCGUUAUCCGGAUUUAUUGGGUUUAAAGGGUGCGUAGGCUGUGCGUUAAGUCAGGGGUGAAAUGCCGUCGCUCAACGACGGAGCUGCCCUUGAUACUGGCGUGCUGGAGUACGGAUGCCGUUGGAGGAAUGAGUGGUGUAGCGGUGAAAUGCUUAGAUAUCACUCAGAACACCGAUUGCGAAGGCAUCUGACGAAUCCGUCACUGACGCUGAGGCACGAAAGCGUGGGGAUAGAACAGGAUUAGAUACCCUGGUAGUCCACGCCCUAAACGAUGUCAACUGGUUGUUGGGGAUUUAUUUUCUCAGCAACGAAGCUAACGCGUGAAGUUGACCGCCUGGGGAGUACGGCCGCAAGGUUGAAACUCAAAUGAAUUGACGGGG
rnacentral:rRNA from 1 species